rnacentral:rRNA from 1 species
AGCGAACGUUAGCGGCGCGCCUAACACAUGCAAGUCGCACGAGAAACGGAGCAAUCCGCGGUACAGUGGCGCACGGGUGAGUAACACGUGGAUGACCUUCCCUGGAGUGGUGGAUAACCUGCCGAAAGGCGGGCUAAUACAGCAUGGGACCACGACGCUUUGGCGAUGUGGUGAAAGCGGGCCUCUAUAUAUAAGCUCGCGCUCCGGGACGGGUCCGCGUCCCAUCAGCUAGUUGGUGAGGUAACGGCUCACCAAGGCAACGACGGGUAGCUGGUCUGAGAGGAUGGCCAGCCACACUGGAACUGAGACACGGUCCAGACUCCUACGGGAGGCAGCAGUGGGGAAUCUUGCGCAAUGGGCGAAAGCCUGACGCAGCGACGCCGCGUGGGCGAAGAAGGCCUUCGGGUUGUAAAGCCCUGUGGGGAGAACGAACCGUACGGGGGCGAAUACCCUCCGUGCCUGACGGUACUCCUUUAGCAAGCAUCGGCUAACUUCGUG